GCUGGGUGUGGUGGCUCACACCUGUAAUCCCAGCACUUUGGGAGGCUGAGGUGGGAGGAUCACUUGAGCCCAGGAGUUUGAAACCAGCCUGGGUAACAUAGUGAGACCCUGUCUCUA
ensembl:misc_RNA Metazoa_SRP Metazoan signal recognition particle RNA